rnacentral:rRNA from 1 species
GAUGAACGCUGACAGAAUGCUUAACACAUGCAAGUCAUUGGCGAAGCUGCGCUUGCGCAGUCUAGCCAAGGCGGACGGGUGAGUAACGCGUAAGGAACUUGCCCUGCAGACAGGGAUAACAGACGGAAACGACUGAUAACACCUGGUAUUGUCAGGCUGGCGCAUGCCGGCCUGAUGAAAGGAGACGCUGCAGGAGAGCCUUGCGUCCUAUUAGCUAGUUGGUGGGGUAACGGCCCACCAAGGCGAUGAUAGGUAGCCGGCCUGAGAGGGUGAACGGCCACCAGGGGACUGAGAUACGGCCCUUACUCCUACGGGAGGCAGCAGUGGGGAAUAUUGGACAAUGGGGGCAACACUGAUCCAGCAAUUCUGUGUGCACGAAGAAGGUUUUCGGAUUGUAAAGUGCUUUCAGCAGGGAAGAAGAAAGUGACGGUACCUGCAGAAGAAGCGACGGCUAAAUACGUG